GCAGGAUCAACCAGGUAGCAUUCCUCACGGACAUCGGCCCGCACGGCUCGGGGCCGGAACGGAACCGAAGUCGUUCGAAAUUGGCUUUAAAGCCUUUUUGUGGACAAAUAGAAGCCGACGACUCCGUGCCCUCAUCGUUUUCUGCAUCCCAGCGCCCGAACGAGAAUUCAUGGACCACGAAACCGACACAAAACGUGUAGAACGUGGGACACGAAUCCCGUUUCGAGUUUCACCCGCAGCCGCACCGAGUAAACGGGCAGCCUAAGGCGAACAGCUAGAGAUUGACAACCGAAUUCCAUCACGUAGGUACGAAACACAGGAAACCAAGGAACGGCCAAUGUAAAAUUGUGCCAACAAUGAAGAGGAUAGCACGGUAGGACGUCGCCGCUCAAGGCAGGGAUCCAACCAAACCGUGCUAAC
rnacentral:misc_RNA from 1 species